rnacentral:rRNA from 1 species
AUUGAACGCUGGCGGCAGUCCUAACACAUGCAAGUCGAACGAGUGGAGGACUGGUGAGUAAUUUAUGGGAAACUGCCUGAUGGAGGGGGAUCACUACUGGAAACGGUAGCUAAUACCGCUUACCAUCGGAUGUGCCCAUAUGGGAUUAGCUAGUAGGUGGGGUAAAGGCUCACUUAGGCGACGAUCGCUAGCUGGUCUGAGAGGAUGACCAGCUCAACGGGAACUGGGACACGGUCCAGACGCCUACGGGAGGCAGCAGUGGGGAAUAUUGCACAAUGGGCGCAAGCCGGAUGCAGCCAUGCCGCGUGUAUGAAGAAGGCCGUCGGGUUGUAAAGUACUUUCAGCGGGGAGGCGUUACCCGCAGAAGAAGCACCGGCUAACUCCGUGCCAGCAGCCGCGGUAAUUC